AGUGCCCAUGGGGCUCACAGCAGCUCCAAAUAUCAGGCUGACUGGAGCACUUCCGGGUUCUAGUUGGUGCCAGACUAUCGGGAGUGCCGGACAAUUGGAGUUUUACUGUACUGUGAAGUGCCCUAUUCUAUGAUGUUUGUAAAAUCAAAACAUUAUGCAGCCCUUAGAAAUCAAUGUAUGACCCAGAUCCUCUGUACUUCCUUGACAGCAUGUCAGCUGGUUUUUGAAAGACUUACAGCUAGGAUGGCGACCCACAAGAUUCAAGAGGGAUAGGUCAGUGGUUUGAGCAUUGGCCUGCUAAACCCAGGGUUGUGAGUUCAAUCCUUGUGGAGGCCAUUUGGGGGGAAAAAUUUGUCAAGGAUGGUACUUGGUCCUGCUGUGAGAGCAUGGGACUGGACUUGAUGAUCUUUCAAGGUCCCUUCCAGUUCUAGGAAAUAAGCAAUCUCCAGCUUUACAGUAAGUAGGGUGUUACAAAUUUUCUAAAACUCCUAAUCAAAGGUUGUGCAUGUCUUAAGGCUCAAACUUCUGAGAAUCAUCAUAUGUGACACAGAGAGUCAGUAAGUUUGGCUAGCCAUUAUCUAAGCAAUAGGAAUUACUCAUAUCACCAACACCUUCCUUUGACUAACUAGCAACUCCUGUUAAUGUUCUCAGGAGUCUUAUAAACUAAGGAUGGACUUCACAAAGGUAUUUAGCUGACUAAUUCCCAGUGAAAUCAAUGGAAGUAGGUGCCUAAAUUUCUUGUAGAUCCUAUCUUAUGUCUACAGACACUAUGCUGGAAUGUACCUUAUUGCCAUGGUGUCCAACAUGCUAGCCACAUGUGGCUAUUUGGCUGGUUGAGUGUGGCUAGUUUGCUAGUUGAGUGUAGUUAUUUCAGAACUGGUUGGACACUGUGGCCUUAUGCAUUAACUGAUCCUUUAAAGUGCUGCAUAUGUUUCAACUCCCCUAUUGCCAAUAUAUUUCAGUGUAGCUAAGGAUCUUCAGCAAGAUCAACCACAAUGUUGUAUUUGAAUGUUUUCCUAAUAAUACUAGUAAUUUUUCAGAUACUGUACAUAGUUGAAAUUUCACAUUUAAUGCUUUUAACUAAAAUUAAUGGGGACAUUUAAAAAUAAUAAUUAGAUCUGCUGUGUUGUGAAAGAACUGAUGCUGAGAAAGCAGAUCCUUUCCAGCUGUAUUAUUGCUUAGUUAGUUACUGCCCUUUUCAUAGUUGUGAAUGAUUUUUCUUGAAUGUAGUAGUUUACACCUAACUGUAUUGAUUGGAAUUUUGUUGAUUUUUAGAUCAGCUCUCCAAUUUAAGGUUGUUUUUAAUUCUAGUCCUGUCCUCCAACAUGCUUGCAGCCUCUUCAAACUUGGUGUCAUCUGCAAAUUUGUGCUAAUGUAAUCCAGAGUGGUUGUGCAGAUUCAACUUUUUCCAUCAGUUUGGAGCCAUCUAGAGAGUGUCGGCUCUGGAGAACUGGCUUUUCUAUAAGAAAAAGGAGGGGAAAAGAUGAUGAGUUGAGUGCAAUACAAAAGCCUCUGUUUUUUUGGCUUUAUGGAGAGCUUGUGCUUCGCUGCACUGUUGUCUAGACGAGCAACUGCCUGUGGGACUGCAUCAAGAUUGAUUGAUUCAAUUGUGCCAGAGGAAAUGUGUCUUUUUGUCCGAGACAAUUUGACUGGUGUGACCUGUUUGUACCAGAUAAACAAAGUCCUGGAACAGCAGAUGUUGUAUUGGAAGAAUACGAGAACCCAAGAAACUAACCCUUUAAGAGGUUUGGUGGGGAAAAUGAUUCAGUGGAACUUGGCUGUCAUUCCUUUCUCAGUCCCACUCCCUAUGCCUACCAAUUCCCUAGAGCUGGAGUGGUCUUUCGUGCGGCUAAGGCAGAAAUGGAUACCAUGACAUGGAGACAACACUUCCUUAUGCUCAGUCCCCCAAAAGUGAUCCCUGGGUACAGACUGUCCUCUGCAUGAGGAAGAACUGGGACACCAAAUUUGGUAUUAGUGAAUCAUUUAUGUGCAUUAAUGUAACAGAAUUGUUCUUCUGUUUAUGCACUAGAGAGUACAUUUAAAUGACUCCUUUUAGCUAGAAGCUCGUGACACUUCCUGUGCUAUGAAUUAUAGGUUAUUUGCACCUUUCAUAUAAAAUGACUGGCUCAAUUUGUAAUUCUGACAUUUUUAUGUACAGUUUGUGAUUCUCCUUAUAUGCUUCAUUAGCAGAUACUCAUAUAAAUCAUUAGAAGUUAGUGUUUCAAACGCAUGCCAAAUCAAAUUGAGAACUGUAGCCAUUAAUCCAAUUUGCCUAAACAAUAAUAAAAUCACAUAGAAUAUAAGAAAUGUAACACUAAAAUUACAUAGCACUUCUAAUCUGCAGCUCUAAUCUGCUGCACAAAGAUUCAUAUGCCAUCUUCUCCGUGUAUAAAUGGAAGCAGAGAGGGGAUACAAAGGCCUGAUUUACACUGGAAAAGUAGGUCAGCAUAACUACACAACUUAGAAGCGUGGAAAAAAUCCAGGGAAGCGGACAUCCAUCUUGGACUCCUGGGCACAGGGGUGGAGGAGAGAUGGCUUCGUGCUCUUGGAAAGGGCAGAGAUGGGAUAUCCAGCCCUCUGCACCACAUGGAGCAUGUUGCACAGAGCUCUUGCAAUGAUUCAAAAGGGACUAGGUGUGCCAUAUGCCAUCUCCUCCCAGUGGCUCUGUGGAGGGGCAUAGCAACACCUGAAAGCAUGAGAAUGAGAACCCACUGCAGUUCUGGCAUGCUCUUCCUGAGAAGAGUUCUGGCUGAGCCAACCAAAUGCCUCCUCAGGCUCCAUCACAAUUCCUCUGGACCUCCCUCCAGCAAGAGCUAUGGCUUAAAAGCACAGUCUGGCCCUUAAGCUUUUUUCAAACAUCCUACUGCGUGAAUAGGGAUAUAGGCUGGGUGGCGGCUAGACAAAUUUUCUUGCCAUGUACCCAUAGGUCAGACAGGAAAAUAAAUUCUGUCCCUUGUGCAGCCCUGAAGUGUACACAUAUAGUUUCUGCUGCACAGGAGGGCCAUGAAUCUGCAAGGUCAACUAUGGGGGCUGUCAUGACCAUGAGGGUUGGCCAGCAGUCUGGGGACUAAGGGAUUAACUAUGUCCCUGUACCUAGCCAGCUAUCUGCUCAGCCAAUAGAAAUGCAGAUAGGAAUUUCAAACUGAGACAAAGGAAUUUUGGGGUUUUCCCUCCUUUGUCUCUGAGACAGUUUUUGCUCUCUAGAUACUGAGGAAAACAGAAGAUGUCGUCUCUCUCAAGAAAAAGGCUCUUCAUAACGUGCAAGUAGGGUAAAGUCUAGAUAAAUCCAUUAGGUUUUAUUGUUUCUGUUUUGGGAAUUUGGAUCUGAUGUCUGUGCUAUUAGAAAUGUUUUUUCCUCUCUU